GACUGCUCUGGUGGUCUAGUGGUUAGAACAUCUGCCUUGGAUGUGGAAGGUCAUGGGUUUGAUCCCCGGCUGAGUCA